GACAAUGGUCGAAAGACUGAUCCAGCCAUGCCGCGUGCAGGAAGACUGCCCUAUGGGUUGUAAACUGCUUUUAUACAGGAAGAAUAAGCCCUACGUGUAGGGUGAUGACGGUACUGUAAGAAUAAGGACCGGCUAACUCCGUGCCAGCAGCCGCGGUAAUACGGAGGGUCCGAGCGUUAUCCGGAAUUAUUGGGUUUAAAGGGUCCGUAGGUGGAUGAUUAAGUCAGGGGUGAAAGUUUGCAGCUCAACUGUAAAAUUGCCUUUGAUACUGGUUAUCUUGAGUUGUAUUGAAGUAGGCGGAAUAUGUAGUGUAGCGGUGAAAUGCAUAGAUAUUACAUAGAACACCAAUUGCGAAGGCAGCUUACUAAGUACUAACUGACGCUGAUGGACGAAAGCGUGGGUAGCGAACAGGAUUAGAUACCCUGGUAGUCCACGCCGUAAACGAUGGAUACUAGCUGUUCGGGACCUUGAGUUCUGAGCGGCUAAGCGAAAGUGAUAAGUAUCCCACCUGGGGAGUACGUUCGCAAGAAUGAAACUCAAAGGAAUUGACGGGGGCCCGCACAAGCGGUGGAGCAUGUGGUUUAAUUCGAUGAUACGCGAGGAACCUUACC
rnacentral:rRNA from 1 species